CUCCUACGGGAGGCAGCAGUGGGGAAUAUUGCACAAUGGGCGCAAGCCUGAUGCAGCGACGCCGCGUGAGGGAUGACGGCCUUCGGGUUGUAAACCUCUUUCAGCAGGGAAGAAGCGAAAGUGACGGUACCUGCAGAAGAAGCGCCGGCUAACUACGUGCCAGCAGCCGCGGUAAUACGUAGGGCGCGAGCGUUGUCCGGAAUUAUUGGGCGUAAAGAGCUUGUAGGCGGUUUGUUGCGUCUGCUGUGAAAGACCGGGGCUUAACCCCGGUAUUGCAGUGGGUACGGGCAGACUAGAGUGCAGUAGGGGAGACUGGAAUUCCUGGUGUAGCGGUGAAAUGCGCAGAUAUCAGGAGGAACACCGAUGGCGAAGGCAGGUCUCUGGGCUGUAACUGACGCUGAGAAGCGAAAGCAUGGGGAGCGAACAGGAUUAGAUACCCUGGUAGUCCAUGCCGUAAACGUUGGGCACUAGGUGUGGGGGACAUUCCACGUUUUCCGCGCCGUAGCUAACGCAUUAAGUGCCCCGCCUGGGGAGUACGGCCGCAAGGCUAAAACUCAAAGGAAUUGACGGGGGCCCGCACAAG
rnacentral:rRNA from 1 species